ensembl:lncRNA
AGCCGGCACAGCCAGAAGUCUGAUUCCUCUCUAAGUUUCUUCAUAGGGAGUUUUUCCUGUGAAUCAAACCAUGUUUUUGCUUGCGGUUUAGGGUUUCUUGGGUGUCUAUAUAAGCACUUUGACACAAUUGCUGUUGUAAAAAGGGCUUUAGGAAAUAAACUGGAUUGAUUGCUGCCAAAGGCACUUCUCAAGUACUGAACAAAGGGACUGAAUAUGUACAUAAGAUAUCUGAUUUUUAUUUUUAAUAAAAUGGAAAAAUGGUACAAAGGUUUUUAGCAUUUUAUGUGGGUGUGUAGAUUGACAGAAACAGAAAGACAGAAAGUGAAGGGGUCUGAAUAAUUUCUGAAGGCACCGCGAGUGAAAGAAACGUAAGCCGAAUUCCUGCCCCUCACUCAGGAUCUGACAUCAUGAGUUGCUAUCAGCCUCAGUGUGAUGAAGCUCUCUGGCACCCCGUUUGUGAUCAGUUGAUCACGGAUCUGGAAAUUGAACAAGCAGACACAACAGAUAUAUGAUUAUCAGGAGGAUCUGAGGGGAAUCCCGCAGUUGGUUGAAUGUGAAACCAUCUGACAUGGUGGAGUGAUACUGACUUGUGGUAAGACUUCUGUUGUGAUGUUUGCAUCUGUGAGCAAACCUGUAAGCAGUGGCUGAUAGGAAAGUUUUAUGCUCACUACAAGUAUGUGUCCUGUAGAAACAGUCAAAAUGGUUAACAAACACAUAUGCACACAUUAUUUUUGGAGUUUGAACAACCAGUGAACGCCAUACUUACUAGACCUGCUGCUCAGUGUUGUAAUGGUAGUAGAGGUAACUGGAAGAGUGGUGAUUGAGGUGGUUGUGGGAUUGGGGAUUGAGGUGGUUGUGGGAUUGGGGAUUGAGGUGGUUGUGGGAUUGGUGAUUGAGGUGGUUGUGGGAUUGGUAGUUAAGAUGGCUGGGAGAUUGGUGGUUAUGUUUGGAAUGGUAGAUGUAGGAGCUGUAGCACAAAGAAAGACAAACAAAUUGGCUGAUCAAUUAAUGUUUUCGUCAAAGAUGCAGUCUCCAAUUUUCAGUGGAGAGUUGUAAAACUGGAGCUGUCAAGCCAAAUUGGUUCACAGAAAAUGGUGAUAUGUGUUACGUAUGUGUCAAUUUGUGCCAAAUGUUAUUUAAAAAACACUCACUUUCAAAUGAGAAUUUCAUUGAUGACUGAUAUGAUAAAAUGUAUAAUAUUCUACUUAUAGAUUAGGCUAAUAUAAAAAAAACAUAUUACACAUCCAGACAUAAAUGUGUACAAUGUUCAGACAAAAUUUGAAGCAUUGGUCAAACAAUGUUAGCAUGUAUUUUGAACUUUUCAAGUUGAGAACAUUCAAUGGCAUUGCCCAUGAAUAGACUAAGCACAAUAUGCAACUGUAGGCCCAGUCCUCAUGUAAAAUGUCCCUGAUUGUCUUGAAAGGCGUCCCCCAAAUAAAAUGUAUUAUUCUUAUUCUUACUUGAAACGUAGUACUACAUACACAAUUAGAGACACCUAAUGAUAUAUGUCCAGUUACCGACCAAUGUAAUGCUAAAUGUAUAAUAACAGACAAAGAUGUCUAUUUAUUAGUACUGAAAAAAAAAAAUAUAUAUAUAUAUUUAUUAGUACUGACCAUUAAGAUGGUUACAAUCAUGUACAAUGGAUAUACUGUCGCUUAUAUGUGGCUGGCAUUGAUAUGACAUGACCACUGUCAAGGGGAGUCUGGUUAUUUGGGACAACAAGAGCUUCAGAUACCACAGACAUCAAUCCUGAAUCAGACAUUGUCUGGACGUCUAUCUAGACACCUGUGGUAACAGCGGUUGGACCAGGAACGUAAUGACGGAUGUGGAAUGAUUAGAUUAGUUCAUAUACUUGUCUGUGACAUUGAUUGUCUCUCUGUCGGUUGUCGAUGUAUUUUAACUGAAUCACUUGAAAAAGUGCAACUUAACCCUGUAACGCCAAGUGUAUCAAAACCUCUACGUCGUCAACAUGAUCAACACUUUCACUAAGAACCUGUUGUAUGCAAUCUGAUACAUGUCUUCUUCCCCCUGGUGGAUAGUCUGUGCACUGCAGGCAAAAGCGGGCUUUUUGAAUGACCGAUCAAAAAUGUCUGCUUUCAUAUAGCGACACACCCGUUUUUGAUAGGGAACUCUUUGCUAAUUUUGAAAAAGUUACAGUAAGAAUAACAUUUUUAUUGUUAGUAAUAUUUCUAUAUGAAUAUUUACUGUGUUGAAGCAACUUAUUAUUACUUAAUAUUUUGUACCUUAUUUUAUAGUAAAAUUGUGUUGAUAAUGUGUGUAUCAAAUAUGAUACAGCAGGUAUGUAAGGUAUUAAAUCCCUCAGUCGUCAUUGCAUUGAAUUUCAUGACGCAAUCUGCUUUAUGCCAAAUACACAAUUUAGAUUUUUUUAUAAAACUUAUGAAACAUUGGAUAUAUUUAAGAUAUACAGUGGGAGAACAAGUAUUUGAUACACUGCCGAUUUUGCAGGUUUUCCUACUUGCAAAGCAUGUAGAGGUCUGUAAUUUUUAUCAUAGGUACUCUUCAACUGUGAGAGACGGAAUCUAAAACAAAAAUCCAGAAAAUCACAUUGUAUGAUUUUUCAAUAAAAAAUUUUAGAUUCCGUCACUCACAGUUGAACAGUGUCUACGAUAAAAAUUACAGACUUCUACAUGCUUUGUAAGUGGGAAAACCUGCAAAAUCAGCAGUUCUCCCCAUUAUAUUUACAGUGGAAAUUGAGAUGUGUUUUUCUUUAUAUAUGCAACCCACAGUCAUGAUGAAGUCUUUUAUCAUCGAUUUUCACAAAAAUAACUUCUUGGCUGUCAUAAUAUGUAUGUUAUAUUGACAAAUUCAGAGAAGAAAUUCAGAGUACGAAAUGAAAUUCUGAGUAUGCAAUGUAUUUUUAGAUGGCCAAAGUAGUGUUCAAAAUGUCAUCAGCAUGACAUAGAUAGACGUUUUGACCAGACUAGUGAAUAAGUAGAGGUGUGACAGAACACUAUCCUCUCUAUAACCCCCCGCCACAGCAAAAUAAAAAGGUUUUAUUUUCUUCAGUUUUUAAAAUCAAGUUCCAAACCAACUGAAAUGGUCCAAAUGCAAUAAACAAUGUCUAUUUAGUUUUCUAAAAUAAAAAUUUUAGUGAUCAAUAAAUUACCAUGAAUGCCUGAUUAAUCAAAUAUUUUUUCUGCAUAUAUGUAAAUUAUAUUUAAAAAAUAUCACCAUGGAGUUCCACAAAAACUGUUUCAUUCCACUACAGGAACUGUAAUAACAACCUCAUCCAGAAUAGGGUAACAUUGCUCCAUGAGGCCUUUAAGUGCAGGUAAGGUCCAGUGACAGAAGAUUGUCUUCCGUUACUGGACCUUACCUGCACUUAAAGAUUGUUUUGUAGAAUUCACAGUGGAAUAAAGCAAUAAUAAAUGAAAUGUGAGAAAGUCUGUACACUGGGAGGAAAAUACAUAUGUUGUUGGCACAGGUGCCUAUGCACAUUACCAGGCAAUCACUGGUUGAUCUGACAAUUACUGAUACAAAAGAAUACUUUAAGGGCUACUGUAAAAUGUCCCUCAGUGAGACUACCAGAACACUAGAAAUGGGAUCAAUCUUCUCAGGGCAACAUGCAGUAGUAAAACUCACCACUUUCGUUUCCAACACGGAUGAUGACACAGCGCAGCUCAGAUUGGUACAGGGAACUGGGAAGAUCGACAGAAGUGGAAUUUUUUGCAUACAUUGACACAAUGUUUCUGAGACAAAAGCCACCAAAUCAUUUUUAUUGACACAUUUUUUGAGCAACAAACUAGUAAAUUACAUUCUGAAAGUACGGAGUGUAGGGAAAAAAAUCUCCACAGUUUUUCGUUAUGACUUUCAAAGUUGCCCACACUUUAGUUAGUUUAGUGUCAUAAAAAUGAACGUCAAGACAAAAUGUUUCAGACUCUGUUUAGCCGUGUUAUGUUUUUCAUUCUUGUUGUUGCAUAACAGUGUACAUUUAAAAGAUUUUCCAUAGAUUCAAGUCAAACUGUCAUUAGUCUGACCUGCCAUUCAGUCCCUGAGCGAUGAAGCACACAGGAUAAGCCCCUCCAUCCUCUGUAGUAGGCGUCCAUCUUAGAAGGUACAGUCCUGGGCUGGUGGUGUUCUUUGUGAUGUUCUGAGGUCCACUCACCAACAGCUCUGUAGCCCUUAACACAGGAAGGGAAAAAAAGAAAAUGAACAAUAACCUUUUGGCAUGAUGAGACUCUCAUUCAAAGCGAAUGUCUCUGACUUCCAGAUCCAAACGCAAUGGUCCCACCAAGUGGUACCUAAUAAAACAGUCCAUAUCUAGUGAAUUCUGUCAUCACAAUCUGUACUUGAAACCUAGAGGGAAGCUAAAGCUUUUUUUAUAAACGGAUGGCUAAGUGAGUGAAUGUGGUAGCCAAAUAUCAUUUGGACCUUGUGUGCAAACUGACAAAUAUCCAGGUUCCCUUUUUCAGAGAUUGAGUCAUGGCACUGGUGACUGACCCAACCCUUAGACUAGUGUUUCCUGGUUUCUAUCCUCUUA